AGACUAAACUGCUUCCAUAGUAAACAGCCUUGUCCUUAGUUUUGUGAACUGUUCAAAGCGUGUCAUUUAAGAGUUUUUGGUUUUGACUGUGUCAGUGUUUGCUCAAGGUUAGUAGCUGGCACUCUCUGUUAAGCUUUUAAUAAAUGAUUAAAGAUAUUUGGAUAAAACGUGUGGACUUUCUUAACUGGUCAGAAUUGAUGUUUUUUUUUUUUUUUUUUUAAUCAGUUCAUUGAAAGUUCAAAUUGACCUGAUUUACUUCAAUGGUUCAGUGUGCACCACCUACGCUACUGCAGGGGAUUUAUAUAAAAAUUUCCUAUAUGUUAGCCAUUUUUACAUUCAAAUUAAAAGGGGAGAGGCUAUUGCUUAAGUUUAUUUUUGUUUACCACAAUUUGUCAUGUACAUUUAUUUAUUUAGUAGUAGUUGUAGGCCAUAGUGCAACUCUUGACACUCAUGGGAAGUUAAAGGCAGGGAUAAGUUCAUGCGUGAACGCGUGCGUUUUGGGGGAAAAUGAGGGCGUUGAGAUUCUUGAGCGCGUUUCACUCUCUUUGGUGAGUGGAACAGGUAGAGCGAGCUGACGCGCUUCCGGUCGCAGGUGAGAGAGAAGCCGUCAUGAACGCGCGCGUCAAAUAAAACUGCUCUGCGCUUGGACGCGGAGGUCUUGAUCGUUUGGGAUUCAAAAUAACAACAGCAGCGGGUCCUCUGCGGUUAUCACAGCAGUUUCUCAGGUUAAAGUUACCUUCCAAAAUGUAAAAGGAUGACCACUGUGUAGUCACUAAUUACCAGCAUCAUGAGUUCAUUGAGCGCAUUGGGCCUGUGCAUGCCAGUGUUGUUCUUUCUGGCUCUGGUCCUGGUUCUGUUCUCGUGCGUCCUCCGUAAGAAGCGGAAGAUGGAGGGAUCAUACCAGCCCAGCUCGGAAGAGCGGAAACAAGCCAAGAACAAUGGAGCCGAGAGACCCGGUCUCACUCUUCCACUGCCCAAAGAGGAGAGACUGAUCUGAAUGCAGCCCUCAGAAAAGAUGCUGUUUAGGUGAACAGAUCUUUCAUUAUGACUUUGUGUUGAUACGCACAGGUGCAGUCCUGACAAACAAGUGGAGGGUCAUGCAUGGAGAACGAUUAAAGUGGUGGUGGGUAUUUAUCUGAUGCUUUUGACUGAGAUGUGAGAAUGCUUUCAUUUGCUGUCACAACUUGGGACAUCUGAAGACACUGCCAAGUGUGUUUAUCAAAAGUAAAGAAGCCAGAUGAUUUAGAUGGACGGCAAAAAACAUUUGGACUUUGUUUACUUUAUCCGUACUUUUAAGUUUACUGACUUGAGAGUCUUUGUGGAGGAGACAUGGCAGCUUCACCUCCAAAAGAGUUUACCAUUAGCAUACUGAAUACUUUAAAUAUCAUACAUUAACAUUAAGUUGCAGUGUUUUCAUAGGUAGAGAGAGAAAUAUAUUGCACUUUGCCAAAUGUUGUUUUGUAUUAGGUUUGCAUUUUUGUAAUGUCUGUAACGUUGAUCAUCAUGUGAUGAAGUGACUGUGUAACUGUGGAUGAUUAAUUAAAAUGCAUCUGUGAGUUAA